rnacentral:rRNA from 1 species
AGAUUAAGUUAUUAAGGGCGCACGGUGGAUGCCUUGGCACUAGAAGCCGAUGAAGGACGUUACUAACGACGAUAUGCUUUGGGUAGCUGUAAGUAAGCGUUGAUCCAGAGAUUUCCGAAUGGGGGAACCCAGCAUGAGUUAUGUCAUGUUAUCGACAUGUGAAUUCAUAGCAUGUCAGAAGGCAGACCCGGAGAACUGAAACAUCUUAUUACCCGGAGGAAGAGAAAGAAAAAUCGAUUCCCUGAGUAGCGGCGAGCGAAACGGGAAGAGCCCAAACCAACAAGCUUGCUUGUUGGGGUUGUAGGACACUCUAUACGGAGUUACAAAAGAACAUGUUAGACGAAUCAUCUGGAAAGAUGAAUCAAAGAAGGUAAUAAUCCUGUAGUCGAAAACAUAUUCUCUCUUGAGUGGAUCCUGAGUACGACGGAGCACGUGAAAUUCCGUCGGAAUCUGGGAGGACCAUCUCCUAAGGCUAAAUACUCUCUAGUGACCGAUAGUGAACCAGUACCGUGAGGGAAAGGUGAAAAGUACCCCGGAAGGGGAGUGAAAGAGAACUUGAAACCGUGUGCUUACAAGUAGUCAGAGCCCGUUAAUGGGUGAUGGCGUGCCUUUUGUAGAAUGAACCGGCGAGUUACGAUCUGAUGCAAGGUUAAGCAGCAAAUGUGGAGCCGCAGCGAAAGCGAGUCUGAAUAGGGCGUUGAGUAUUUGGUCGCAGACCCGAAACCAGGUGAUCUACCAUUGGUCAGGUUGAAGUUCAGGUAACACUGAAUGGAGGACCGAACCGACUUACGUUGAAAAGUGAGCGGAUGAACUGAGGGUAGCGGAGAAAUUCCAAUCGAACUUGGAGAUAGCUGGUUCUCUCCGAAAUAGCUUUAGGGCUAGCCUCAAGUGAUGAUUAUUGGAGGUAGAGCACUGUUUGGACGAGGGGCCCCUCUCGGGUUACCGAAUUCAGACAAACUCCGAAUGCCAAUUAAUUUAACUUGGGAGUCAGAACAUGGGUGAUAAGGUCCGUGUUCGAAAGGGAAACAGCCCAGACCACCAGCUAAGGUCCCAAAAUAUAUGUUAAGUGGAAAAGGAUGUGGCGUUGCCCAGACAACUAGGAUGUUGGCUUAGAAGCAGCCAUCAUUUAAAGAGUGCGUAAUAGCUCACUAGUCGAGUGACACUGCGCCGAAAAUGUACCGGGGCUAAACAUAUUACCGAAGCUGUGGAUUGUCCUUUGGACAAUGGUAGGAGAGCGUUCUAAGGGCGUCGAAGCAUGAUCGCAAGGACAUGUGGAGCGCUUAGAAGUGAGAAUGCCGGUGUGAGUAGCGAAAGACGGGUGAGAAUCCCGUCCACCGAUUGACUAAGGUUUCCAGAGGAAGGCUCGUCCGCUCUGGGUUAGUCGGGUCCUAAGCUGAGGCCGACAGGCGUAGGCGAUGGAUAACAGGUUGAUAUUCCUGUACCACCUAGUAUCGUUUUAAUCGAUGGGGGGACGCAGUAUGAUAGGCGAAGCGUGCUGUUGGAGUGCACGUCCAAGCAGUAAGGCUGAGUGUUAGGCAAAUCCGGCACUCAUAAGGCUGAGCUGUGAUGGGGAGAGGAAAUUGUUUCCUCGAGUCGUUGAUUUCACACUGCCGAGAAAAGCCUCUAGAUAGAUAACAGGUGCCCGUACCGCAAACCGACACAGGUAGUCAAGAUGAGAAUUCUAAGGUGAGCGAGCGAACUCUCGUUAAGGAACUCGGCAAAAUGACCCCGUAACUUCGGGAGAAGGGGUGCUCUUUAGGGUUCACGCCCAGAAGAGCCGCAGUGAAUAGGCCCAAGCGACUGUUUAUCAAAAACACAGGUCUCUGCUAAACCGUAAGGUGAUGUAUAGGGGCUGACGCCUGCCCGGUGCUGGAAGGUUAAGAGGAGUGGUUAGCUUCUGCGAAGCUACGAAUCGAAGCCCCAGUAAACGGCGGCCGUAACUAUAACGGUCCUAAGGUAGCGAAAUUCCUUGUCGGGUAAGUUCCGACCCGCACGAAAGGCGUAACGAUUUGGGCACUGUCUCAACGAGAGACUCGGUGAAAUCAUAGUACCUGUGAAGAUGCAGGUUACCCGCGACAGGACGGAAAGACCCCGUGGAGCUUUACUGUAGCCUGAUAUUGAAAUUCGGCACAGCUUGUACAGGAUAGGUAGGAGCCUUUGAAACGUGAGCGCUAGCUUACGUGGAGGCGUUGGUGGGAUACUACCCUAGCUGUGUUGGCUUUCUAACCCGCACCACUUAUCGUGGUGGGAGACAGUGUCAGGCGGGCAGUUUGACUGGGGCGGUCGCCUCCUAAAAGGUAACGGAGGCGCUCAAAGGUUCCCUCAGAAUGGUUGGAAAUCAUUCAUAGAGUGUAAAGGCAUAAGGGAGCUUGACUGCGAGACCUACAAGUCGAGCAGGGUCGAAAGACGGACUUAGUGAUCCGGUGGUUCCGCAUGGAAGGGCCAUCGCUCAACGGAUAAAAGCUACCCCGGGGAUAACAGGCUUAUCUCCCCCAAGAGUUCACAUCGACGGGGAGGUUUGGCACCUCGAUGUCGGCUCAUCGCAUCCUGGGGCUGUAGUCGGUCCCAAGGGUUGGGCUGUUCGCCCAUUAAAGCGGUACGCGAGCUGGGUUCAGAACGUCGUGAGACAGUUCGGUCCCUAUCCGUCGUGGGCGUAGGAAAUUUGAGAGGAGCUGUCCUUAGUACGAGAGGACCGGGAUGGACAUACCUCUGGUGUACCAGUUGUCGUGCCAACGGCAUAGCUGGGUAGCUAUGUAUGGACGGGAUAAGUGCUGAAAGCAUCUAAGCAUGAAGCCCCCCUCAAGAUGAGAUUUCCCAACUUCGGUUAUAAGAUCCCUCGAAGAUGACGAGGUUAAUAGGUUCGAGGUGGAAGCGUGGUGACACGUGGAGCUGACGAAUACUAAUCGAUCGAAGACUUAAUCAAUUUUUUAAA